GCUCUUAUCGUCUAGC
rnacentral:tRNA from 1 species